GGAGGAAAGCAGGGGAUCGCAAGACCUCGCGCCAUUGGAGCGGCCGAUGUCCGAUUAGCUAGUUGGUGAGGUAAAGGCUCACCAAGGCGACGAUCGGUAGCUGGUCUGAGAGGAUGAUCAGCCACACUGGGACUGAGACACGGCCCAGACUCCUACGGGAGGCAGCAGUGGGGAAUUUUGGACAAUGGGGGAAACCCUGAUCCAGCCAUGCCGCGUGAGUGAAGAAGGCCUUCGGGUUGUAAAGCUCUUUCGGACGGAACGAAACGGCGAGAGCUAAUACCUCUCGCUACUGACGGUACCGUAAGAAGAAGCACCGGCUAACUACGUGCCAGCAGCCGCGGUAAUACGUAGGGUGCGAGCGUUAAUCGGAAUUACUGGGCGUAAAGCGUGCGCAGGCGGCUGCCUAAGUCAGAUGUGAAAGCCCCGGGCUCAACCUGGGAAUUGCGUUUGAAACUACAAAGCUAG
rnacentral:rRNA from 1 species